rnacentral:rRNA from 1 species
AUUGAACGCUGGCGGCAGGCUUAACACAUGCAAGUCGAGCGGAGAUGAGGUGCUUGCACCUUAUCUUAGCGGCGGACGGGUGAGUAAUGCUUAGGAAUCUGCCUAUUAGUGGGGGACAACAUUCCGAAAGGAAUGCUAAUACCGCAUACGUCCUACGGGAGAAAGCAGGGGAUCUUCGGGCCUUGCGCUAAUAGAUGAGCCUAAGUCGGAUUAGCUAGUUGGUGGGGUGAAGGCCUACCAAGGCGACGAUCUGUAGCGGGUCUGAGAGGAUGAUCCGCCACACUGGGACUGAGACACGGCCCAGACUCCUACGGGAGGCAGCAGUGGGGAAUAUUGGACAAUGGGGGAAACCCUGAUCCAGCCAUGCCGCGUGUGUGAAGAAGGCCUUAUGGUUGUAAAGCACUUUAAGCGAGGAGGAGGCUACUGAGACUAAUACUCUUGGAUAGUGGACGUUACUCGCAGAAUAAGCACCGGCUAACUCUGUGCCAGCCGCCGCAGUAA